GAUGAACGCUGGCGGCGUGCCUAAUACAUGCAAGUCGAACGAAACUUCUUUAUCACCGAGUGCUUGCACUCACCGAUAAAGAGUUGAGUGGCGAACGGGUGAGUAACACGUGGGCAACCUGUCCAAAAGAGGGGGAUAACACUUUGAAACAGGUGCUAAUACCGCAUAACCUUAGUUACCGCAUGGUAACUAUGUAAAAGGUGGCUAUACUACCGCUUCUGGAUGGGCCCGCGGCGCAUUAGCUAGUUGGUAGGGUAAAGGCUUACCAAGGCAAUGAUGCGUAGCCGAAUUGAGAGGUUGAUCGGCCACAUUGGGACUGAGACACGGCCCAGACUCCUACGGGAGGCAGCAGUAGGGAAUCUUCCACAAUGGGCGAAAGCCUGAUGGAGCAACGCCGCGUGGGUGAAGAAGGUCUUCGGAUCGUAAAACCCUGUUGUUAGAGAAGAAAGUGCGUGAGAGUAACUGUUCACGUUUCGACGGUAUCUAACCAGAAAGCCACGGCUAACUACGUG
rnacentral:rRNA from 1 species